rnacentral:rRNA from 2 species
UACGAAGGGGGCUAGCGUUGCUCGGAAUCACUGGGCGUAAAGGGCGCGUAGGCGGACGUUUAAGUCAGGGGUGAAAUCCCGGGGCUCAACCUCGGAAUUGCCUUUGAUACUGGAUGUCUCGAGACCGGAAGAGGUAAGUGGAACUGCGAGUGUAGAGGUGAAAUUCGUAGAUAUUCGCAAGAACACCAGUGGCGAAGGCGGCUUACUGGUCCGGAUCUGACGCUGAGGCGCGAAAGCGUGGGGAGCAAAC